AGAGUUUGAUCAUGGCUCAGAACGAACGCUGCGGCGUGGAUAAGACAUGCAAGUCGAGCGAGAUUUCUUUCUGUAGCAAUACAAAAAGAAAUCUAGCGGCGAACGGGUGCGUAACACGUGGGCAAUCUGUCUUAAAGUGGGGGAUAGCUCGGCGAAAGCCGAAUUAAUACCGCAUGUGAUUAGGGAAGACAUCUACCCGAAAUUAAAGCCGGGGCAACCUGGCGCUUUUUGAGGAGCCCGCGGCCUAUCAGCUUGUUGGUGAGGUANCGGCUCACCAAGGCUUUGACGGGUAGCUGGUCUGAGAGGACGACCAGUCACACUGGAACCGAGACACGGUCCAGACACCUACGGGUGGCAGCAGUCGAGACUUUUUGACAAUGGGGGAAACCCUGAUCGAGCGACGCCGCGUGGAGGAUGAAGG
rnacentral:rRNA from 1 species